GGCAGACGGGUGAGUAACAUGUGGGUAUCUGCCCUUUGGCCUGGAAUAACACGAGGAAACUUGCGCUAAUACCGGAUAAGUCUUUACGGAGAAAGCUUUAUGCACCAUUGGAUGAGCCCGCACUUGAUUAGUUUGUUGGUGGGGUAAUGGCCUACCAAGACUGUGAUCAAUAGCUGAUUUGAGAGGAUGAUCAGCCACAUUGGGACUGAGACACGGCCCAAACUCCUACGGGAGGCAGCAGUGGGGAAUCUUGCACAAUGGAGGAAACUCUGAUGCAGCGAUGCCGCGCGAGUGAAGAAGGCCCUUGGGUUGUAAAGCUCUUUCGUCGGGGAAGAAAAUGACUGUACCCGAAUAAGAAGGUCCGGCUAACUUCGUGCCAGCAGCCGCGGUAAUACGAAGGGACCUAGCGUAGUUCGGAAUUACUGGGCUUAAAGAGUUCGUAGGUGGUUGAAAAAGUUGGUGGUGAAAUCCCAGAGCUUAACUCUGGAACUGCCAUCAAAACUUUUCAGCUAGAGUUUGAUAGAGGAAAGCAGAAUUUCUAGUGUAGAGGUGAAAUUCGUAGAUAUUAGAAAGAAUACCAAUUGCGAAGGCAGCUUUCUGGAUCAUUACUGACACUGAGGAACGAAAGCAUGGGUAGCGAAGAGGAUUAGAUACCCUCGUAGUCCAUGCCGUAAACGAUGUGUGUUAGACGUUGGAAAUUUAUUUUCAGUGUCGCAGCGAAAGCGAUAAACACACC
rnacentral:rRNA from 1 species